rnacentral:rRNA from 1 species
GAUGAACGCUGGCUACAGGCUUAACACAUGCAAGUCGAGGGGAAACGACGGGGAAGCUUGCUUCCCCGGGCGUCGACCGGCGCACGGGUGAGUAACGCGUAUCCAACCUGCCUCUGACUGAGGGAUAACCCGUCGAAAGUCGGCCUAAUACCUCAUGGCAUCGUCUGCGGGCAUCCAACGACGAUUAAAGAUUUCAUCGGUCAGGGAUGGGGAUGCGUCUGAUUAGCUUGUUGGCGGGGUAACGGCCCACCAAGGCUACGAUCAGUAGGGGUUCUGAGAGGAAGGUCCCCCACAUUGGAACUGAGACACGGUCCAAACGCCUACGGGAGGCAGCAGUGAGGAAUAGUGGUCAAUGGGCGGGAGCCUGAACCAGCCAAGUAGCGUGCAGGAUGACGGCCCUAUGGGUUGUAAACUGCUUUUAUGCGGGGAUAAAGUGAGGGACGUGUCCUUCAUUGCAGGUACCGCAUGAAUAAGGACCGGCUAAUUCCGUG